rnacentral:snoRNA from 1 species
UGUUGAUGAUGACAAUCAAGAGGCUUGUUUCUCAAAAUAUUCGCAGUGGCCGCCUAAGAGCUUUCGCCUUUGCCAGGCUUGAGAGCUUGUGCUGCUCUAUCCUUCCUUGGAUGUCUGAAACU